UGGGGGAAUGGCUGAGUGGUCGAAAGCGACGGAUUGCUAAUCCGUUGUAUGAUUUUUUUUCAUACCAAGGGUUCGAAUCCCUUUUUCUCCGA
rnacentral:tRNA from 2 species